UUACACACCCUAUUCUUUUUCUCUUUAAAACGCUCUCCUAUUCAAUUUCCCCCAUAUAAACCUAUUACCAUCUAAUUCAACAGGCCUCGAGUUGUUGUGUUUUUUUAUAAGAAGACGAGAAUAAAUUCCGUUCCACCACAUACCUACAUAUCCUCUUCCGACUACCACCUUCACCCUAAUUUAUAUCCAGAACCUCAUCAAUUUGAUUAUCAUCGAUUUUUGGGGGGUGUAAAAUCCGGAGGGCGCGUGGCAGAAAAUGAUGUUUCUACCAUUGAAGCAACCGUGAUUAGCAGAUCCUUCAUUCAGCGGCUAGGGUUGCACCAUGAACCAGUGAUAGCGUCGAUGUAUUCAUCGGAGUCGUGUCGGCGACUCAUGAUGAACAAUUGAAUGUUAUCAUCAAUCGCGAUCUCAAGCCUAAAUUCAAGCUUUCUCGGUCGCGAUCUGGGUAUUUGGGACAUUGAUUAUAGAUAAUGUGCGGUGAUGAUUCAGUAUCACUAAAUCUCUAUAAUUCUGUCUUAAUUUCACAUUGGGCAUUGCUAAUUUGAUCUCAAUUUC
rnacentral:lncRNA from 1 species